UCCCAGGUGGCUCAGUGGUAAAGAAUCUGCCUGUCGAGCAGGAGACACAGGUUUGAUCCCUGGGUUGGGAA
rfam:Ovis aries breed Texel chromosome 13, whole genome shotgun sequence.